UGGCUCAGGACGAACGCUGGCGGUGUGCCUCAUACAUGCAAGUCGAACGAUAAGGUCUCUUCGGAGAUACAUAAGUGGCGGACGGGUGAGUAAUAUGUAGGAAAUCUGCCCUAGAGAGGGGGACAACAGAGGGAAACUUCUGCUAAUACCCCAUACGAGCUUGGUUGAAAUACCAAUCUUGAAAACUCCGGUGCUCUAGGAUGAGCCUGCAUCUGAUUAGCUAGUUGGUGGUGUAAUGGACCACAAAGGCGACGAUCAGUAGCUGGUUUGAGAGGAUGAUCAGCCACAAUGGGACUGAGACACGGCCCAUACUCCUACGGGAGGCAGCAGUAGGGAAUUUUGCGCAAUGGGGGAAAAACCCCUGACGCAGCAACACCGCGUGAAUGUUAAGCCCUUCGGGGUAUAAAGUUCUGUCAAUGGGGAAGAAUUAAUGACUGUACCCAUAAAGGAAGCACCGGCUAACUCCGUGCCAGCCGCCGC
rnacentral:rRNA from 1 species